GUUGUGGACUAGGGUGUUGUGGACUAGGGGGUAGUGGACUAGGGGGUUGUGGACUAGGGUGUUGUGGACUAGGGUGUUGUGGACUAGGGUGUUGUGGACUAGGGUGUUGUGGACUAGGGUGUUGUGGACUAGGGGUAGUGGACUAGGGUGUUGUGGACUAGGGGUUGUGGACUAGGGUGUUGUGGACUAGGGGUUGUGGACUAGGGGUUGUGGACUAGGGGGUAGUGGACUAGGGGGUUGUGGACUAGGGUGUUGUGGACUAGGGUGUUGUGGACUAGGGUGUUGUGGACUAGGGUGUUGUGGACUAGGGGGUAGUGGACUAGGGUGUUGUGGACUAG
ensembl:lncRNA